UAGGGAAUCUUCGGCAAUGGACGAAAGUACUGACCGAGCAACGCCGCGUGAGUGAAGAAGGUUUUCGGACCGUAAAACUCUGUUGUUAGAGAAGAACAAGGGUGAGAGUAACUGUUCACCCCUUGACGGUAUCUAACCAGAAAGCCACGGCUAACUACGUGCCAG
rnacentral:rRNA from 1 species